rnacentral:misc_RNA from 1 species
AAACACCCUCAACCUUUUCUUUAUUGAAAAGGUUGGACUUGAGUGAUCCCAACGGUUUUUUUUUUAAAAGGCUGGCGGGUUGCUUGAAAUGCAGGUGCGGCUGGACACAUCUUCUGAGCUAUAAGCAUUACCUAUUUAGUCCCGUCAAACGGAUUAUUUCUAUUGCUACAGCUAAUAUAAAGGUUGAUUGUCCUGUGCCCGACUGAUGCAGGAAAACAUGGAGAAAUCCUUGUUCA